CGGUCAAAUCACGCUGAAACACCGGUUCUCGUUCGAUCACCGAAGUUAAGCAUCGUAGAGCCAGGUCAGUACUUAGAUGGGGGACCGCUUGGGAACACCUAGUACUGUAAG